AUGCGGGAGCAGCUCGCGGCCGCCGAGAAGGCCAGGAAGGACGCGCGCGGCGCCUUCGCCGAUGCCAAGAAGCGGUUCGCCGCGAACGCGAAGAAGAGGGAAGCCGCCGCUCCGGCACCGGUCGAACAGGAUACCAAUGUGCGGCCGCCAGAACAGAAGCAGCGGGAGGAGGAGGCAGAAGUUGUCGCAGACGACGUUGCAAAUGGUGACGGCGAGGAGAGAAGAUGCAUGGUCGACCGCGAGGACAAUGAGUCCCGGGUUGAGGAGGUGGCCGAGAAGACGACUGAUAAUGGCGAUGAGGUGAGCAACAGCAUUGCCGUCGUUGGAGUCGACGGUGCUGGCAACGAGGGGAACCCGGAGGCGGACCAGCUGUGGAGCAAGCUUGUGGCGAAAGACAGGGAGGUGUACGAGGUGAGGGCGAAGCUGAUGCUGAAGGACAUGGAGGUCGACGAGCUGAAAGCUGAGCUGACGGCGAAGGACGCGAACAUCGGCACGCUGACGGCAGAGCUGGUCGCAAAGGACGCCGAGUUCGCCGCUCUCAGAGCCGAGAACGCCGAGCUCACGAAGACGGCCUCCGGCGCCGCCGAGGCCGACAGGAAGACGACGGCCGCGAAGGCGAGGGAAGCCGAGCGCGCGCUGAUGGACAGCGCGGCGCGUGAGGCCCGGCUGGCCGAGCGGAUGAGGGAGUCGGAGCGCGCGCGGGGGGCACUGGAGGCCGAGGCGCGCCGCAUCCGCGUCCAGAGCGAGCAGUGGCGCAAGGCGGCCGAGGAGGCCGCGGCGGUGCUCGGCGGCGCGGGUCACCACGUUGGCGCGGAGGAGACGGACGAGGACAGGCAGCGGGACGCGGGAGACGGGGGCUCCGGUGUGAAGAAGAAGCCGGCCGGCGGCGCCGUGCGGCUGCUCGCCGACCUGUGGAAGAAGAGGGCGUCGAAGUGA
rnacentral:rRNA from 1 species